rnacentral:rRNA from 1 species
AUGGUAGGAUAGAGGCCUACCAUGGUGGUAACGGGUAACGGGGUGUUAGGGCACGACACCGGAGAGGGAGCCUGAGAAACGGCUACCACAUCCAAGGAUGGCAGCAGGCGCGCAAAUUACCCAAUCCCGACACGGGGAGGUAGUGACAAUAAAUAACAAUACGGGGUUCUUUCGGAUCUCGUAAUUGGAAUGAGUACAAUUUAAAUCUCUUAACGAGGAACAAUUGGAGGGCAAGUCUGGUGCCAGCAGCCGCGGUAAUUCCAGCUCCAAUAGCGUAUAUUAAAGUUGUUGCAGUUAAAAAGCUCGUAGUUGAAUUUCGGGGUUAGUAGGUUGGUCAUGCCUCUGGUAUGUACUGGUCUCACUGAUUCCUCCUUCCUGAUGAACCGUAAUGCCAUUAAUUUGGUGUUGCGGGGAAUUUGGACUGUUACUUUGAAAAAAUUAGAGUGUUUAAAGCAAGCUAACGCUUGAAUACAUUAGCAUGGAAUAAUGAAAUAGGACGUUCGAUCCUAUUUUGUUGGUUUCUAGGAUUGACGUAAUGAUUAAUAGGGAUAGUUGGGGGCAUUAGUAUUCAAUUGUCAGAGGUGAAAUUCUUGGAUUUAUUGAAGACUAACUACUGCGAAAGCAUUUGCCAAGGAUGUUUUCAUUAAUCAAGAACGAAAGUUAGGGGAUCGAAGACGAUCAGAUACCGUCGUAGUCUUAACCAUAAACUAUGCCGACUAGGGAUCGGAUGAUGUUAAUUUUUUAAUGAC